UAACUGCUUUGUAUUGUACUUGUAAUUAGGUGAAGAUUGAAAGAAUGCAGGCCCACGAGUUUGGCGCCGAGGAAGUAAGACGCAUGUAGGACCAGCAGGUGGUGCUUUUCUGAAACCCCGCUGCAAGAUCCAGAAAAAGCGGUUGAGCGCCUAGCUGGAUUUGGGGGUACAGAGUAUUUGGCAAAGGAAGGACUUUCCAAGGAUGAAAGAAAUAGAAGAAAUUAUAGAGGAAAAGAACAGUAUUUGCUGCCAUCAAAAUGGGAAACUUCUGAAAAAAAAAAUAAAAAAAUAAAAAAAAUACACAAAAAAUAGGAAACUUCUGUACAGCAAAAAUACCUUAAACAAAUUAAAUAAAGAAUGAAAAAGUGUUG
rnacentral:lncRNA from 1 species